rnacentral:rRNA from 1 species
GUGGUCCUACGGGAGGCAGCAGUGGGGAAUAUUGUACAAUGGGGGAAACCCUGAUGCAGCAACGCCGCGUGAGUGAAGAAGUAUUUCGGUAUGUAAAGCUCUAUCAGCAGGGAAGAAGAUGACGGUACCUGAAUAAGAAGCCCCGGCUAACUACGUGCCAGCAGCCGCGGUAAUACGUAGGGGGCAAGCGUUAUCCGGAUUUACUGGGUGUAAAGGGAGCGCAGACGGCAGUGCAAGUCUGGAGUGAAAGCCCGGGGCCCAACCCCGGAACUGCUCUGGAAACUUGGC